GGGGGGGGGUGGGGGGGGGCGGGGGGGGGGCGGGUCGAGCGGAGCUGUCGGGGGUGGUGGCGGGCGGGGGCGGGGCGCGUGGGAACGGGCGUUUCGGUUCGGGAUAACUCAGGGAAACUGGUGCUAAUACCGAAUGUGCCCUUCGGGGGAAAGAUUACUCGCCUUUAGAGCGGCCCGCGUCUGAUUAGCUAGUUGUUUGAGGUAAGGGCUCACCAAGGCGACGAUCAGUAGCUGGUCUGAGAGGAUGAUCAGCCACAUUGGGACUGAGACACGGCCCAAACUCUGACGGGAGGCAGCAGUGGGGAAUCGUGCGCAAUGGGCGAAAGCCUGACGCAGCCAUGCCGCGUGAAUGAUGAAGGUCUUAGGAUUGUAAAAUUCUUUCACCGGGGACGAUAAUGACGGUACCAGGAGAAGAAGCCACGGCUAACUUCGUG
rnacentral:rRNA from 1 species